GAUGAACGCUGGCGGCGUGCCUAAUACAUGCAAGUCGAGCGAACAGACGAGGAGCUUGCUCCUCUGACGUUAGCGGCGGACGGGUGAGUAACACGUGGAUAACCUACCUAUAAGACUGGGAUAACUUCGGGAAACCGGAGCUAAUACCGGAUAAUAUAUUGAACCGCAAGGUUCAAUAGUGAAAGACGGUUUUGCUGUCACUUAUAGAUGGAUCCGCGCCGCAUUAGCUAGUUGGUAAGGUAACGGCUUACCAAGGCGACGAUGCGUAGCCGACCUGAGAGGGUGAUCGGCCACACUGGAACUGAGCCACGGUCCAGACUCCUACGGGAGGCAGCAGUAGGGAAUCUUCCGCAAUGGGCGAAAGCCUGACGGAGCAACGCCGCGUGAGUGAUGAAGGUCUUCGGAUCGUAAAACUCUGUUAUUAGGGAAGAACAAAUGUGUAAGUAACUAUGCACGUCUUGACGGUACCUAAUCAGAAAGCCACGGCUAACUACGUG
rnacentral:rRNA from 1 species